rnacentral:rRNA from 1 species
UCGAGAGUUUGAUCCUGGCUCAGAUUGAACGCUGGCGGCAUGCCUUACACAUGCAAGUCGAACGGCAGCACGGGUGCUUGCACCUGGUGGCGAGUGGCGAACGGGUGAGUAAUACAUCGGAACGUACCUUAUCGUGGGGGAUAACGCAGCGAAAGCUGUGCUAAUACCGCAUACGCCCUGAGGGGGAAAGCGGGGGAUCGAAAGACCUCGCGCGAUUAGAGCGGCCGAUGCCUGACUUAGCUUAGGUUGGUA